GCCUCAUUGGCCAAACAGUACUUUAUUCAACAAUCAAUAAGGUGAACAUACACAGAAGUACAUUCCCCAUCAACCCCAAGAACUGGUGUCUAUAUAAUAUGUUCAAUACAUCUAUUAUGAUCAAGAUACUGCAUGCACUGGACAAUAAAGUAAUUUCAAAUAUUCAGCCUGCUCCUGAGUUCUAAGAAGAAAGUGUAUUGUUCAGCUUGGCUUGUGGUAACUGGAACACACUAAUUUGUCCUACUACAUUUUUAAUUUCAGGA
rnacentral:lncRNA from 1 species